rnacentral:rRNA from 1 species
UACGUAGGUGGCAAGCGUUGUCCGGAUUUACUGGGCGUAAAGGAUGCGUAGGCGGACAUUUAAGUCAGAUGUGAAAUACCCGAGCUUAACUUGGGUGCUGCAUUUGAAACUGGGUGUCUAGAGUGCAGGAGAGGUAAGUGGAAUUCCUAGUGUAGCGGUGAAAUGCGUAGAGAUUAGGAAGAACACCGUGGCGAAGGCGACUUACUGGACUGUAACUGACGCUGAGGCAUGAAAGCGUGGGGAGCAAACAGG